rnacentral:rRNA from 1 species
GGUCAAGGAAGAAAGGGCGUACGGAGAAUGCCUGGGCACAGAGAGGCGAUGAAGGACGCAGCGAACAGCGAAAUGCGGCGGCGAGCGGUAAGCACGCGAUGACCCGCCGAUAUCCGAAUGGGGAAACCCCUCCGCUUUCGAAGCGGAGACCGCAUGACGACCGUCAUGACGGGGCAAUACGCAGGGAACUGAAACAUCUAAGUACCUGCAGGAAGAGAAAGAGAAGUCGAUUCCGUAAGUAGCGGCGAGCGAAAGCGGAGGAGCCCAAACCGGACACAGUCCGGGGUUGUAGGACCGCCGGUAAAGAUGACAUGAAGAGUCAGGAGAAUCCCAUGGGAAGGGGAUCCGAAGAGGGUGAGAGACCCGUAUCCGAAGGCUUGACAUGCGUCGAGGCGGCACCUGAGUACGGCGGGGCACGUGGAAUCCUGCCGGAAUCAUCGGGGACCAUCCCGAAAGGCUAAACACUACUCUGUGACCGAUAGCGAACCAGUACCGUGAGGGAAAGGUGAAAAGAACCCCGGGAGGGGAGUGAAAGAGAACCUGAAACCGCAUGCCCACAAGAAGUCAGAGCCCGUCAAAGGGUGAUGGCGUGCCUUUUGUAGAAUGAGCCGGCGAGUCACGAUCAGCAGGCGAGGUUAAGCAGGA